UGGGGAAUUUUGGACAAUGGGCGAAAGCCUGAUCCAGCAAUGCCGCGUGUGUGAAGAAGGCCUUCGGGUUGUAAAGCACUUUUGUCCGGAAAGAAAUCCUUGGCUCUAAUACAGUCGGGGGAUGACGGUACCGGAAGAAUAAGCACCGGCUAACUACGUGCCAGCAGCCGCGGUAAUACGUAGGGUGCAAGCGUUAAUCGGAAUUACUGGGCGUAAAGCGUGCGCAGGCGGUUUGCUAAGACCGAUGUGAAAAUCCCCGGGCUCAACCUGGGAACUGCAUUGGUGACUGGCAGGCUAGAGUAUGGCAGAGGGGGGUAGAAUUCCACGUGUAGCAGUGAAAAUGCGUAGAGAUGUGGAGGAAUACCGAUGGCGAAGGCAGCCCCCUGGGCCAAAUACUGACGCUCAUGCACGAAAAGCGUGGGGAGCAAAACAGGAUUAGAUACCCUGGUAGUCCACGCCCUAAAACGAUGUCAACUAGUUGUUGGGGAUUCAUUUCCUUAGUAACGUAGCUAACGCGUGAAGUUGACCGCCUGGGGAGUACGGUCGCAAAGAUUAAAAACUCAAAGGAAUUGACGGGGUCAUAGCUGUUUCCU
rnacentral:rRNA from 1 species